UGGCCUCCUCCAGGUCCCUGCGAAGCUUCUGGAACUCAGUCUCUCUCUUCUUGUUCAUCUCGAUCUGGGCUGAAGUGGCCCCACUGGCUUCUUCCAGCCUCUCGCUGAUCUCCUCCAGUUCCCUGGCUAGAAACUACAGAGAAAGGCCCACUGUGGUGGCAUGCUGCUGAGGCGGGGAGUGGAAAGAAAAGAUAAAAAGGAAGAACAGCUCCGGUCAACAAGAAGAGACAAGCGCGGAUGAGCACACGGGGCAUUUGCAGGGAGCCUCUGUGGCCAGGAGGGACCCGAGGUCUUCACCUGCAGUUCUUUAAUCUUCUUCUGCAGCUGCAGACUGAGGACCUGCUCGUCGUCGAUUCGGAUCCAUGAUGGACUCCUGGGCCAUUUUCAGGUCUCCUUCCAGCUUCCUCUUCACCCUCUCCAGGUCGGCCCUCAGUUUCCUCUCCUGCUCCAAACUGCCCUCGAGCUGGGAAGACACAGGUGGAGAGGCUGGCUGGGACAAGGCCGAGGAAGCAGGCUUACCCACAUCAGCCGGCACCAUCAGUCACACCCCAUGCCCUGUGGCCUCCAGCCCUGGGAGGAAGGGAGCCAGCCUUCCAUCCUCCACUUCUCUGUUCUCUAUCUUAGGGGGUCGUCCAGCGUCUGCUGAUGGGCUUCCUGGAGAGAUUUCUUUUCUUUCGUCAGUUUGGAAAUGUUUUCCUCAAGCGCUGUCAUUUCUUCAGAGAGAUUCUUCACCUGGGAGCAAAUUAACAACUAAUUUAAUAUUGAAACAAUUAAUCCCAACAACAAGCACUGUGGUGGCCUCCUGUCUCUGUAGCUCCAUAUCAUUCAGGGACAGGUAGCUUCUCAGUUCUUUUCUUAAUGUCUUUUUUUUUUAAUUAUUUUAAUUUUAUUUCAUCUUAUUUUUGGGAAUUGUACAGUUCCUAGGCUGGUUCCAAACUCCCAGGCUUAAGAUAUUUUCUUGCUUCGGCCUCUGAAGUAGCUGAGCAGCCGAGACAAGGCACGUACCACUACCAUACCGGCAGCCUUGCAGGUUUUUAUGAGAUAGGGUCUCAAGUGGCCUAAAGUGACGACAUCAAAACUUGAUGUCAGUCAGGGUGAUCUCAAACUUCCCACCUUCCCGCUUCUACCUUCCGAAUACCGAGAUGCAGGCAUGAGCCGCCAUGUUUGGUUAUACGUGGUUCUGGGAUCACGUGCAGGGCCUUGUCAUUGCUGGGCACUACUCCGCCCAGUGAACUACAGCCCAGGCUCUCCAUGUCCCCUCGUCUUCCUCCCUGGCCUAUCACGGCGUCCCAGUUUCUUCCAGUGGGACUGUUCCUUUCAGAGUGCACUAUAUUUCACUAGGAAGGACACCAUCAAAAUGCAAAUCCACUCGGUGUGAAGGGCAACACAUCAAUCUGUGUUUACUCAUCACACACCUCCAAGCAUUUAUCAGGCGGGCUGAUGGGGGGUUCAGGACGAAGCAGGAAAGAGAGGGAGAGGCCUGAGGUGUGAGGCAAGAAAAUCCAGAUGUGCUGGCAGCAUGGGGCCUGGGCACCUUGCACAGAGCUUCAGGCACCAAACAGAAACUCCCUUGGACUCAUCUUCCAGAUGAGAGGUUGCUAACUCCCACCUGUGACCUGAAUCCAACCUCACAUAUAUUUCAUUUAUCAUUUUAUUUUUUGGAAACCUUAUCAACAUUGGAAAAUAAGAGUCUACAUAAAAUCUGGAUUUUUGGCUUCUUGUGGAAAGCCAAACCUCCAGCAGCACUGACUUCACCUUCCCACCUGACAACCAUGUGCUGGGGCUGAGUCAUGGCUGCCACCCGUGAGAUGGGCAGCCUGUGGACAGCAUUGGCCACAGUCUCCACCCUCCCUAUUGUCUGUUUCCAUUACUAUUGUUAAUCCAUCACUGACUCUGAGUGUCAGCUGUCAUUGUCCUCUCACACCCAGCAGACUUCUGCCUUUCUCUCCCCUCAUGGGUAGCCCUUAUUAAAUGAAUCACGCCAAGCUUUUAAGGACCCUUGUCAAGCAUACAUUUUUGUGCUGUGUGCAUGUACUUUCCCUAUGUGUAAAUGUUAUCACACUGCUCACAUCCCUUACUUACACGUCUCUCCACUGAGCACUGGGUGUUUCAUAUUCAUCUUGGUUGCCAGAUUCACCCAGCCUGGUGCCCUCCCCCAAUGGUGGACUGUGCUCUCUGUGUGACUCAACUGCAUUCUGCCUCUCCAUCCUAGGAUGUGGUCCCCAGCUCUGUCCCAAGCAGAGCUUCUCCAAUUGUCCCUAUAUAUGCAAGCACCUUUUUGUGUGUUCUCCAAGUCAUGAUGGGAGAUGUCUUUGGUUUUACAUCCAGAACAGAAUCAUGGGCUCAUAGGGGUCAACUCCAGGUCGUCGAUGUCUCUUUUGAGGGAGGAGCACUUGUCUUCCAGAUUCCUCUUCUUGGCAACCAGUUCCGAAUUCGUCUCCUCCUCCUCCUCCAGCCUCUCAUUCAGCUCCUUGACCUUCGCCUCC